CACCGGCGCACCCCCCCCCCCCUUGCCAUCUCACCUGCCCUGUCCGCCUCCACAGUUGUCGUCAAUGGACAAAUGCUGUAGCAAGGAUCAUGGUGGCGAAAAGUGUAGUGACUUUACUGUUUCUAAUUUGUUGCAUCGUUGGAACCGAGAACAAUAAAGAUAUUUUCAAUGGACAAACAUCUAAACUUUCCAGCUACACGGUUGUAAAGCCUCAGCUUGUUCACAGGAGAUGGGCAAGAAAUGCCGACAGACGUCCUGACUGGGGAAAGACUGAAGAACCCGAGGAACGUUCUUAUUCAUUGAUCAUUGACAACAAGGAACAUUUCCUACAUCUACAAAAGAACACAGAGUUUUUAUCCAAAAGCUUUGUUCAGUUUUCCCAUGAUGCCACUGGGAAUCUGACGCCUACAUAUCCUAAGCCUGAUGUCCAUUGUUAUUACCAUGGGGAUGUGGAGGAUCAUGAAGAAUCUUUGGUCGCCCUCAGCACCUGCUCAGGCCUCAGGGGUGUCAUUCUCCUUGGCAACCAGAGUUAUGGGCUGGAACCAGUCAAGCAGUCGACAAACAACGAGCACCUCCUCUACCGCCUGGAGCACAGCCAAUCGGAGCCCUUUGUCUGUGGAGUGACCAAUGAGACGUCGCGCACUGAGAGUCACUCGCCUUUCGACCCUUCCCUCUCGAUGACGGCACUGUUACGGAGAAAACGUAAUCUACCUCAGACCAGAUAUGUAGAGUUGGUGUUGGUUGCUGACUUUCUCAGGUACACCUACAAGAAGAAGAACGAGACAGCGGUGCGAGAGGAGAUGGUGGAACUAGCCAAUCUGCUGGAUGGGUACUAUAAGAGGCUGAAUGUCCGCGUGGUGCUGGUAGGCCUGGAGGUCUUUAAGGAAGCCAACCCCUUCAGUGUGGAAGGCUCUGCGGGGAAGUGUUGGGACUGUUUGUCAAGUGGAGGAAGACGGUACUGCUGCCGCGGAUCAGGCAUGAUGACGCACAGCUAAUUGUUGGUCUGGGGGGAGCGUAUUCGGGAGGGAUCCUGGGCAUGGCGUUCGUGGGCACAGUGUGUUCGAUGGCUACCGCUGGAGGAAUCAAUGUGUAUAGUGGUGACAAUCUGGGCUACGUCUCUACUGUCGUGGCCCACGAGAUGGGCCAUAACCUGGGCAUGAAUCACGACGACAGCCGCUGUAGCUGUAAUGGAGGGAGCUGUAUCAUGGCUGCCUCGGCAACUGGAUCCACCCUCUUCAGUGACUGUAGUGCCUCUGACUUUGAGCGUCUGGUCCUGCGUGGAGGAGGGGUGUGUCUGUUGAACCAGCCCUCCCAGUCCAACAUCAUCUCUGUGGCUAAAUGUGGCAACGGCAUGUUAGAGGAAGGAGAGGACUGUGACUGUGGAACACCCCAGGAAUGUACCAAUAAGUGCUGUGACGCGGCCACCUGUAAGUUGACCUGGGGAUCGGCCUGCGCUCAGGGAGGCUGCUGCAAGGACUGCAAGAUCAGCGUGUCAGGGACACCGUGCAGGGGAUCUGUCAACUCAUGCGACCUCCCAGAAUACUGCAACGGCUCCGCCUCCUUCUGUCCAUCAGACUUCUAUAUCAUGGAUGGGCUUCUCUGUGAGAACAACGCGGCGUACUGUUAUGAGGGCCGCUGCCAGACCUACGACUACCAAUGCAAACAUCUUUUUGAAACGGGUGCAAGCAAAGCAGCAGACAUCUGCUUUCAGACGGCGAAUCUAAAGGGGGAUGCGUUUGGGAACUGUGGAAUGACGGCGUCUGGGACCUAUGUGAAAUGUAGUUUGGCUAAUGCCAUGUGUGGGAAGGUACAGUGCACUAACGUAAACACCAACAACCCUCCUCCUGGAGGCUCGGUCAGUAACCAGAUCAUCGAUGGUUCUUCGUGUGUCAACGCAGACUUUAACCUGGGCUCUGAUGUUCUUGACCCUGCCUAUGUCAACCAGGGCAGCCCCUGCACCAAGGGGAAGGCCUGCCUUGACUUCCAGUGUGUGAAUGCCUCAGCUCUACUGUCUGUGGACCUCCACUGUGAUGCCAACAACACAUGUAACAGCCGAGGGGUGUGUAACAACCAGGGCCACUGCCACUGUAAUGACGGCUGGGGACCUCCUGACUGUGCCAAGUCAGGGAGAGGGGGCAGUGUGGACAGCGGGCCUGCACAGAUAGAUUAUUCCCUGAGGGACGGCCUGCUGAUCUUCUUCCUGCUGGUGGUUCCCAUCCUGGUGCUGCUGGUGUUAGUGCUGCUCUAUGUGUUCAGAAGGGAUACCCUGGAAAGAUGCCUCAAAGGACCACGCUCCAGACGCUCCAGGUCAGGAAAUGCAGCAAAUGGCCAAGCGAAUGGCAAUGCCCCGAAACAACCAACGACACAACCUCCAGCAACACAGGCCACACCCCCUCAGCCAAUGCCUACAUAUCCACCAUCCUCUACCUCAGGACCCAGGUUUGGAGAAAACAACCAUUGGAACCAACCUCCUGCCUCCCAGCCACCUCUCCCCCAGCAAGGCCCAGGUGUUCCCAAACCCAUCCCUCCCAAGCAUUAACCCUGACAGGAACACCCCUUCGAACAUAAUGGGGGGGCUCUUCCCAAACCCAUCCCUCCCAAGCAUUAACCCUGACAGGAACACCCCUUCGAACAUAAUGGGGGGGCUCUUCCCAAACCCAUCCCUCCCAAGCAUUAACCCUGACAGGAACACCCCUUCGAACAUAAUGGGGGGGCUCUUCCCAAACCCAUCCCUCCCAAGCAUUAACCCCGACAGGAACACCCCUUAGAACAUAAUCGGGGGGCUCUUCCCAAACCCAUCCCUCCCAAGCAUUAACCCUGACAGGAACACCCCUUCGAACAUAAUGGGGGCUCUUCCCAAACCCAUCCCUCCCAAGCAUUAACCCUGACAGGAACUCCCC